rnacentral:rRNA from 1 species
GACGAACGCUGGCGGCGUGCUUAAUACAUGCAAGUCGAACGGACAGGCCCUGCUUUUGCGGGGUGCUCGUGUGGCGAACGGGUGAGUGAAACGUGUGUAACCUGUCCUUGACAUUGGGAUAACUUCUGGAAACUGGGGAUAAUACCCGAUAGGAGCUUCUGCUGCAUGGUGGGGGUUGGAAAGUUUCGGCGGUUGGGGCUGGACUAGCGGCUUAUCCGCUUGAUUGUGGGGUAGUGGCUUACACAGGGUUUGAAGGGUAGCCGGCCUGGGAGGGGUGACGGCCACAAUGGGACUAAGAGACGGCCCAGACUCCAACGGGAGGCAGCGGUGGGAAGUAUUGCACAAUGAGCGGAAGCCUGAUGCAGCAGCGCCGCGUGCGGGAUGACGGCCUUCGGGUUGUAAACCGCUGUCGCCGGUGACGAAGCGAGAGUGACGGUAAUUGGUAAGGAAGCACCGGCUAACUACGUG